GCGACAGACGCUCGGAGCCGCGAGACACGGGUGGACAACAGAAAGGGACAUGCGAAGCGAGGACGGAUGAAGCCGAGCGAGAAGGAAGCACCAGGGCAGCUUAGACACCUGCGUGGGCGCUCCGCGGGGGGCCGGCGCAGGUGUACGUAGGGGAGAGAGAGCCUGACAUGGGACUUCUCAGCCGCAAGCAAGACACAGCGAAGCAGAAAUGAUAAAAAGAACAGAAUCAAGAAAACACGUUUGAAGCAAAUAGUCGCUGUGCAGUCAGAAGUCCUUCAAGUAUGAACGCUAUAGAAAAAGCUUUUAAAGCCCGAACUUUGGUUUCAUUGAAAAGGAAAAGGAGUGACAGGACACAAAUCAGAUCCCCAACUCAACCCGGAGAAGGAAAACAAGGCAGCCGAAGAAAGAACAGGGAAGGGAAGUUUAAGGGUCACAGUGGAAGGGAACGGAGUAGACAGCAUAACGGCCUUCAUUAAUAAAAAAAUUUUUUUUAA